rnacentral:rRNA from 1 species
AGAGUUUGAUCAUGGCUCAGGAUGAACGCUAGCGGCAGGCUUAACACAUGCAAGUCGAGGGGUAUUGGUUUUCGGACCAAGAGACCGGCGCACGGGUGCGUAACGCGUAUGCAAUCUACCUUUUACAGGGGGAUAGCCCAGAGAAAUUUGGAUUAAUACCCCAUAGUAUAUAAUUUUCGCAUGAAGAUUAUAUUAAAGUUCCAACGGUAAAAGAUGAGCAUGCGUCCCAUUAGCUAGAUGGUAAGGUAACGGCUUACCAUGGCAACGAUGGGUAGGGGUCCUGAGAGGGAGAUCCCCCACACUGGUACUGAGACACGGACCAGACUCCUACGGGAGGCAGCAGUGAGGAAUAUUGGUCAAUGGGCGCAAGCCUGAACCAGCCAUGCCGCGUGCAGGAUGACGGUCCUAUGGAUUGUAAACUGCUUUUGUACGAGAAGAAACAACAUUACGUGUAAUGUCUUGACGGUAUCGUAAGAAUAAGGAUCGGCUAACUCCGUGCCAGCAGCCGCGGUAAUACGGAGGAUCCAAGCGUUAUCCGGAAUCAUUGGGUUUAAAGGGUCCGUAGGCGGUUUUGUAAGUCAGUGGUGAAAGCCCAUCGCUCAACGGUGGAACGGCCAUUGAUACUGCAAGACUUGAAUUACUAGGAAGUAACUAGAAUAUGUAGUGUAGCGGUGAAAUGCUUAGAGAUUACAUGGAAUACCAAUUGCGAAGGCAGGUUACUACUAGUGGAUUGACGCUGAUGGACGAAAGCGUGGGUAGCGAACAGGAUUAGAUACCCUGGUAGUCCACGCCGUAAACGAUGGAUACUAGCUGUUGGGGGCAACUUCAGUGGCUAAGCGAAAGUGAUAAGUAUCCCACCU